CCCCCCUGCGCAGACCUCCACUAGGCCGGGAUGACUGUUCAGCUGCGGCGGGGAGUGGCCUCCCUCCGGUCGGCACGACGAAUUUGUUUCUUUUUUCUUUCUUUUAGCUUCCAUAAUGUUACCGGGCGCUGACGCAAACCCACGCCCGGCAGGAGAGCUCAAAAGCCGGUACUGAAAUCACCCUCAGUCAUGGUACAGUCCAUGGUAGUCUGCCAGGUGAGCGCAAUUGUAGUAAUUAACAAGUCUAUUUAAGUUCCGCGUUUUUAAGCGUUCGGCCAUUUCGUUCAACCAUGGGGAGGAAAAAGGAUCUCUCUGCUGUCGAGAAGCGUGAAAUCGUUCGAUGCCUUGGACAAGGUAUGCAGACAUUCGAUAUUGCACGAAAGCUUAAGCGCGACCAUCGAACUUUGAAGAAAUUCGUCGCUGAUUCGGAGCAAACGCGCGUUCGU